rnacentral:rRNA from 1 species
AGCGGCGGACGGGUGAGUAACGCGUGGGCAACCUACCUUAUACAGGGGGACAACAUCGGGAAACCGGUGCUAAUACCGCAUAACACAUUGAAAUGGAAUCAUUAUGAUGUCAAAGGAGGAAUCCGGUAUAAGAUGGGCCCGCGUCCAAUUAGCUAGUUGGUGAGGUAACGGCUCACCAAGGCGACGAUUGGUAGCCGAACUGAGAGGUUGAUCGGCCACAUUGGGACUGAGACACGGCCCAGACUCCUACGGGAGGCAGCAGUGGGGAAUAUUGCACAAUGGGGGAAACCCUGAUGCAGCAACGCCGCGUGAAGGAUGAAGGUCUUCGGAUUGUAAACUUCUUUGAUUGGGGAAGAAGAAGUGACGGUACCCAAAAAACAAGCCACGGCUAACUACGUGCCAGCAGCCGCGGUAAUACGUAGGUGGCAAGCGUUGUCCGGAAUUACUGGGUGUAAAGGGCGUGUAGGCGGGGAUGCAAGUCAGGUGUGAAAGCCCAUGGCUCAACUGUGGGACUGCAUCUGAAACUGAAUCUCUUGAGUACUGGAGACGGAAGUGGAAUUCCUAGUGUAGCGGUGAAAUGCGUAGAGAUUAGGAGGAACACCAGUGGCGAAAGCGGCUUCCUGGACAGUAACUGACGCUGAGGCCGCGAAAGCGUGGGGAGCGAACAGGAUUAGAUACCCUAGUAGUCCACGCCGUAAACGAUGGAUACUAGGUGUAGGAGGUAUCGACCCCUUCUGUGCCGGAGUUAACACAUUAAGUAUCCCACCUGGGGAAUACGACCGCAAAGGUUGAAACUCAAAGGAAUUGACGGGGGCCCGCACAAGCAGUGGAGUAUGUGGUUUAAUUCGAAGCAACGCGAAGAACCUUACCAGGGCUUGACAUCCCUUGACAGCUCUAGAGAUAGAGUUUCCCUUCGGGGCAAGGAGACAGGUGGUGCAUGGUUGUCGUCAGCUCGUGUCGUGAGAUGUUGGGUUAAGUCCCGUAACGAGCGCAACCCUUAUUGUUAGUUGCCAGCAAGUAAAGUUGGGCACUCUAACGAGACUGCCGGUGAUAAAUCGGAGGAAGGUGGGGAUGACGUCAAAUCAUCAUGCCCCUUAUGUCCUGGGCUACACACGUACUACAAUGGCUGGUACAGAGGGGAGCUAAGCCGCGAGGUGGAGCCAAUCCCCAAAACCAGUCCCAGUUCGGAUUGCAGGCUGCAAUUCGCCUGCAUGAAGUGGGAAUUGCUAGUAAUGGCAGGUCAGCAUACUGCCGUGAAUACGUUCCCGGGCAUUGUACACACCGCCCGUCACACCAUGAGAGUUUGCACACCCGAAGUCAGU